GGGUCAGUAGGUUGGUCGUGCCACCGGUACGUACUGGUCUCACUGAUUCCUCCUUCCUGACGAACCGUAAUGCCAUUAAUUUGGUGUUGCGGGGAAACAGGACUGUUACUUUGAAAAAAUUAGAGUGUUUAAAGCAAGCUAACGCUUGAAUACAUUAGCAUGGAAUAAUGAAAUAGGACGAUCGAUCCUAUUUUGUUGGUUUCUAGGAUUGACGUA
rnacentral:rRNA from 1 species